GGCGGGGCCGGGCGCGGGUCAGGGGCGGGGUCCACCUUAAAGGGCCCGGGCGCCCCGCCCGCCUACGCAAAACCGACUAGAUACUCUCUACUCUCAGCUUUUUGUUUUUCAAGUUUUCCAAACUCGAGAAAAGUUGCAACAAUAAUAGAGAUCCACUCCUCACACCACACACAGGAAUAAACUCCUAAAUGAUGAGGAUCUAAAUGUGAAAAAUGAAACUGCAAGUGUUAGAAGAAAGUACGGGAUUGAGCAGAUGAAUAAAUACAAUGCGGAUUUGGGAUCCAGGUUUGUCACUUUAGGAAAAAGGAAAUACAAUUAUGAAAAGCUAAAAGCCUCAGAAGAUGAUUGUGGUAUUGGGCUGGAAUUGGAGAUAUCAAUAAACUCAUGGUUUUUCAUAUUUAUACACAGAAAUCUGGAAACAUAUCUACAUACAUGUUUCCUAGCUCUGCCCACUUAAGAGGUCCCAGGGCAGUGACACCCCAGUGACGGUGAGCACACUUACUACCCAGAUCUUCGUUUCCACUGAAGGGAGCCGGGGCUCCCAGGAGAAAUGGCUGACUCCAGGCUGCGCCAGGCAGAGUACAAGACGAGCUGGAACAUCUCGUGCCCAAGAGCAGGAAGGUACCCAGAGAAGGACGGAGACAUGUCAAGAGAGCCAGGAGCUGGCCUGAAGGGGCUCCACUGGCUAAAACUGGAGCAAUUGGAGCAUAAAAAUAAUGACAGCAAUGUACUUGGAAACACUGAAUUAAACAAAAACCCAUGAGGCCGUACUGAGGAUGUGGGCACCUUGGGCUUGGACCACCCAGCCUCCCAAAUCGUGAGAAACAAACGUGUGUUGUCCCAGCAGCCCAGCCUGUGGCAUUUGGAAAUGGCAGCCUGAGGUGACUAAUACACUGGGUCACAUGGUAAUACUUCAUUUAGCAUUUUGAGGAACUGCCAGACUGUUUUUCAAAGUGGCUGCCCCGUUUUGCAUUCUCAGCCCUGUAGGAGGGGUCGUUUUUCUCCACAUCCUCCCCACACCUGUCAUGACCUGACGC
rnacentral:lncRNA from 1 species